ACCGUUUGCUUUGCUUUUGGUUCAGUGUUAGAAUGCUCGCCUGCCAUGCGGGCACCCCGAGUUCGAUUCCCGGCCGAUGGUU